rnacentral:lncRNA from 1 species
UGUGUGUGUGUGUCUGUGUCUGUGUGUGUGUCUGUCUGUCUGUCUGUCUGUCUGUGUGUCUGUCUGUGUGUGUGUCUGUCUGUGUGUCUGUGUCUGUCUGUCUGUCUGUGUGUGUGUCUGUCUGUGUCUGUCUGUGUGUCUGUGUGUGUCUGUGUCUGUCUGUGUGUGUGUGUGUGUCUGUCUGUGUGCCUGUGUAUGUCUGUCAGUGUCUGUCUGUGUCUGUGUGUCUGUCUGCCUGUGUGUCUGUGUGUGUCUGUCUGUGUGUGUGUGUCUGUGUAUACACACAUGCUAACAGCUGACCAAGCCAAAAUGUUUACCCCACAAAGCCAGGGAGGAGGCAAGCCCUUUCAAAAACCUGCUGUGAAAUGGAGAAUCCAUUCUAUCCAGGACAUCACCUAAGAAGGUUCCAUUUAACCCCCAGGACCCCACACCGAGAGACAGAAACAAUGAUGUCCUUGAAUAAGAGGGCCUGCAUGACUUUGAGAUCCUCAACACUGCACCGCUGUGGCUGCAUCUUCCUGUGUCCAAAGCUACAACUGGUUUUCUGUCUCUGACUCUUCUUGACUCAGCAGAACUAAAGAAAUACCCUCGGAAUGUAUCUCCUUGGUGACUCUGAGUCCAGUCAAGGUGACUGUGAAGACGGACCAUUUGUGGAUGAGCAUUUGGCUUGCUUGUGCCUUUGGACUAAUCUGCAGCUGGAGUUCUCCUCUUGAGACCAGGGGACCUGGUGAAUGGUGCUGUCACAACACCAAAGCCUGCUCUUAGGACAAGUGGACUCAGAAGAAGUUGGCAAUGCCACUGAGGUAGGACCGGACUGACACAAGUGCUAUCCUCCUGCCAGGGUCCGUGUGGCAUGGCAAUAGUUUGCUAAGAGUAAGUAGGCAUCAAACAGAUAGAUAGGGGGAAGAUCCAACAAGCAAGCAACCCGGACACAGCGGGGGCAGCCUCAGUCUGCGAAGAGAAGCAGAGUCCUCCAGUAGACCGUCUGAGGAUGGAGCAGAAGCUCCCAGGGGGAUUCUCAGCUUAAGGCCUGAAGGCCUGAAAUGGGGCAGAGGUGGUGGGAAGCAGAUGCCACCCCAAUGCCAGUCGCCAUUGGGAAGCAGCAGUGUGCAGCCAGCAGAAGCUAAAGGAAGGUGGGUACCCAGGCCACUUUAUUCUGGGUGCAAGCCUGGCUUUUCAAAGACCGAGAUCUGUCUCGGGUGCUGAUCGUGGGUGGGAGGCUUCACUGUUCUCUGAAUACCAAGGAGGGAUGAGAUGUGGCUGGGCCUCCCCUCAGUGACAACUCAAGCAUGCUGACCGGCCACAGCUGAGGAGGAGCAGGAAGAGGAGGAGAGGAAGAGGAGGUUGCUCAUGGUGUCAAAACACAUGGUAACUUCUGCAAACUUCCAUGACAUCUGUGAUCCAGUUCUCUCUGAAAACCACCACCCAGGCGACACAUUGUUACUCCCACUGCUCAGAUCAGAACACUGAGGCCAACAGUGUUCCCCAGAGUUCAGAGUCUAUGGGACUUUGUCCCUGGCCACAUCCCCUGUUGGUACUGUGCCUAUCCUUCAUCCGUUUUGUUUUGUUUUUGUUUGUUUGUUGUUGUUUUUUUUUUUCAGGGCAGGAAGCCAUGGAGCUGAGUUGUCUUUCCCAGGCCUCUUUGGAGGGUUCUUGCUGACUUCCUUUACUUGUACAGAAACUUGAGGUUCUGUCCAAGACAGGCUGGCCCUCCCUCUCCCCCCCCCAUCUCUACACAUCCCACACCUGUCAGAGGCUUAGGGUAGACCCCAUAGCCACCAAGUUAUUCAUUUGCCCUUAACAUACUGACUCUUUUUAUUGUCUGCUCCCAGAAUCCCUCGAAGACUGGAUUCUACCAGCACCCCUGAGAAACUUCAUUCCCAAGGACCCG